UACGUAGGGUGCAAGCGUUAAUCGGAAUUACUGGGCGUAAAGCGUGCGCAGGCGGUGAUGUAAGACAGGUGUGAAAUCCCCGGGCUUAACCUGGGAAUUGCGCUCGAAACUACGGAGCUGGAGUGUGGCAGAGGAAGGUGGAAUUCCACGUGUAGCGGUGAAAUGCGUAGAGAUGUGGAGGAACACCGAUGGCGAAGGCAGCCUUCUGGGCCAACACUGACGCUCAUGCACGAAAGCGUGGGGAGCAAACAGG
rnacentral:rRNA from 1 species